AAGCGAAUGAUUAGAGGCCUUAGGGUCGAAACGACCUUAACCUAUUCUCAAACUUUAAAUGGGUAAGAACCUCACCUUUCUUGAUUAUGAAGGUCGAGGUUGUGAUAUAUUGUGCCCAGUGGGCCACUUUUGGUAAGCAGAACUGGCGCUGUGGGAUGAACCAAACGCAAUGUUACGGUGCCCAAAUUGACAACUCAUGCAGAUACCAUGAAAGGCGUUGCUUGCUUAAAACAGCAGGACGGUGGACAUGGAAGUCGUAAUCCGCUAAGGAGUGUGUAACAACUCACCUGCCGAAGCAACUAGCCCUUAAAAUGGAUGGCGCUUAAGUUGUAUACCUAUACAUUGCCGCUAAAGUAGAUGAUUUA
rnacentral:rRNA from 1 species